rnacentral:rRNA from 1 species
GAUGAACGCUAGCGGCAGGCUUAAUACAUGCAAGUCGUGGGGCAGCAUGAAUGUAGCAAUACAUUUGAUGGCGACCGGCAAACGGGUGCGGAACACGUACACAACCUUCCUAUAAGUGGGGAAUAGCCCAGAGAAAUUUGGAUUAAUACCCCGUAACAUAAUGAUGUGGCAUCACAUUAUUAUUAUAGCUACGGCGCUUAUUGAUGGGUGUGCGGCUGAUUAGAUAGUUGGCGGGGUAACGGCCCACCAAGUCUACGAUCAGUAGCUGAUGUGAGGGCAUGAUCAGCCACACGGGCACUGGGACACUGGCCCGACUCCUCCGGGAGGCAGCAGUAAGGAAUAUUGGUCAAUGGACGCAAGUCUGAACCAGCCAUGCCGCGUGAAGGAUUAAGGUCCUCUGGAUUGUAAACUUCUUUUAUCUGGGACGAAAAAAGGCGAUUCUUCGUCACUUGACGGUACCAGAUGAAUAAGCACCGGCUAACUCCGUGCCAGCAGCAGCCGCGGUAA